AACGUGCUCCGGGGUCGGUGUGAAUCCGAACCGGCGGUGACAGUCCGCGAGCGUCUCGGUUCUCCGAGAUGCCGAUCCGGUGGAAAUCCGGAACCGACGGUGAUGCGAGAGCGAUCUCGCUAGUCCGGAAGGGAGGCAGCACGGU
rnacentral:ncRNA from 2 species